rnacentral:rRNA from 1 species
AUACGGAGGGUGCAAGCGUUGUUCGGAAUUACUGGGCGUAAAGCGCGUGUAGGCGGUUUGGUAAGUCAGAUGUGAAAGCCCUGGGCUCAACCCGGGAAGUGCAUUUGAAACUGCCUUUCUUGAGUAUGGGAGAGGAGAGUGGAAUUCCCAGUGUAGAGGUGAAAUUCGUAGAUAUUGGGAGGAACACCCGUGGCGAAGGCGACUCUCUGGACCAAUACUGACGCUGAGACGCGAAAGCGUGGGGAUCAAACAGGAUUAGAUACCCCGGUAGUCC